GAUCUCGCACAAAGGAGACUAUAAAAGGAGCUGCGGUGAACCGGGCUCGUUCUUUUACGACGGAGCCUAAGAUAUUCUUUGUCUUGUCGGUACUAGAGUCACCGAAAGAGACAUCCUAUUAUAUGCACGUUCACAAGGACAAUGGCGCCAUUGUUCUUCGCGUCUUCAAAGCAGCUACAAGAAGAAACCAAGAUGGAGGGGAGCCCAAAGCAUCUGAGAGAAUUGAUAAAUGAAAGAAACAUGCUUAAAACAUGACCGUUUUAAAGGUGAAUGCUGACCAGUGAGAUGCCAGCCUGCGUGUGAAGAUCCUACAGCAGAAGUGCAUGGCCAGUGACACAAGAACUUGCGAGAGAUGCCAGUCCGCCUGUGAAGAUCCUGCAGCAGGAGUGCAUGUGAGUGGUGCUCUGUUUUGUUUUCUGCUGAGCUUACUGUCGUUGGUCUAGUCUAUGAUGAUCCUAUCCCGAACCUGAAUUCCUGUUGAAAAACCAUACUUACGGAUCUGGCUUCUGAGAUGGACCAUUGCAAAGGACUAUUGUGUUCUUCUUUAAUGUUGGCAGUAACAUAAUGCCUGUGUUCUUAUUUUUAUAUUUUAGAGCCAGUGACACAAGACGUGCGAAUGAAAACUAGAUGUGACCAUCCAGAAAAAGCAUAGACAAAAAAAUGCAGUCUUAGUACUGGGAUGUUUGAGAUGGGGUCUAUCUACAUGUCUCUAGCUGUCCCUAUCAGGACAGCAUCUGGUGUGGCCUGCAGAGUUGAUUCCUGUACUUUUUUUUUUUUGUGGGCUGUAUGUAAAUGGAUUGUUUUGACAAUCCAUUCGACAGUGUUCUCUUCUGUGAAGGUCAUAGGUGAGCUGAUUGACAGACACAGCUGUACAGACUGAAUGCAAUCCUGACUAUAAAGCUGCAGUUCAUCAUUAUGAGCUAUUUCCUUAUUCUGGCAGUGAUUGAAAUAAAAUGGGGAGUAUUGAAAUAAAAAACAUUCAAUUGCAAA
rnacentral:lncRNA from 1 species